GUUCUCUGUUUCUUUCUCUUUCUUCUUCUUUCUUCUUCUUUUCCUCUGUUCUCCUUCUCUUUUCUCUGCAAAUUCUUCUUCCUCCCGUAUCAAUCGAUGGAACAUAAAUUUGAAGUUAGCAAUUGAAUUAGUGAGGGUCAGAAGACAAUAAAUUGUUGGUGAAGAACGAUGUGUAGUUAAUUUAGUUCAACAGAAAAGAGGGUUUCAGAGAUUUGAAAAUAGGGUUGCAGAUUUGAUUAACGUUUUGGAGGUUAUGAGAUAUGAAUCGAGUUACUGACAGAUGAAUAAGAAGAGGGUUGUUGUUAUAUUGUUGUGGUUGUGUUGUCUCGGUGAUUGAAUCAAGAGUCAGGGUUUCUUGAAGAAUUUAAGGAAGAAUUAGAGGGUGAAAUUAAUGUUAAGGGGACUACUUAUCAACGAUGGGUUUGUUCUUAAUUGGUGUUUGAUGGAAUAUGUGGAGUUGUUAUGAAGAUUGAUUAAGAAAUUGCAGAAUUAGGGUUAUUGAUGUUCUUCCCCAAAUUGGAAUUAGGGUUUCGGUAAAUGAAUGUUGGUGCUGGUGGUUAAUGAUUGUAAUUGAACGAGAAUGAUGAGUUGAUACUUUGAGAUGAGUUGCUGUAACAAGUGAAAGCAAAGAAGAAUCAUAUUUGUCUGUAGCCAUGGUUUAGGUGAAACAAAAUUGAGGUAAUUGUUUUAGUAGUAUUCAUCAGUUCAAGUUCCUUAUUGAGUUCAUAAGUUUCUUAAUGAAUUAAGAAUUGAAUUGGAUUUGUUGGGUAUGUGUAGGCCGUUCAUGUAAUCAGGAUUUAGUAUUGUUUUGAAUUACAGGCUUUCUGUGAGUUUAAUUGGGAAUGGAAUUACAUGAAUAAGGAUGUUGGGGGUAAGUGAACUAUAUUAGGGUUGUGAUAUUAUUGAUGUUGCUGAGACUGGUGGUGGUAAUGUAUAGGAGGUAUUGUAACUUAGCUGUUGUGGCAGAGAAGAACUAAUAUUUAGUUUCUGAAAUUGCAGUUGAGGUAUUAGUGAACAUGUAAACUGUAAUGUGUGGAACUGAAGUAGGUUUGAUUGAGUGUAAAGGAGCUAUGGUUGUGUUGGGUAGGUUUGAAGUACAAUAAUGGUAAUGUUGGUGUUUGAUAUUUGAGUGUAUGGCUUGGAAGUAGUGAUGAAAUAGUUGUGCUGGGAGUUUGCAGUGGCAAUUGAGAUGGAUAAGAUGAAUAUGGUGUUGCCGGUGAAGAACAUGAGCCAUAAAUGAGCAUUGGUGAAUGUUGUUGGUGGUGAUAUUAUUGUUGUUGUAAAUUUGAAGAUGGUAAUUCUACAAAUAGGGUGACUAGUCUAUAACGAUGUGAAGAAUGUAUUGAACUGGUGGGAGUUGAUGCUAGUGUUAUUGUGGUAAAAUUUUGAUGUUGGUGAUUGUAAAGAGUCAAGUGUUGUGGUUGCUUUUGAGUUGCAGGACAGAAGUGGUAGUGUCAUAGUUUUUGGAACUUGAUUGUGUCGAUAAGAUGUUUGAGCUGAAGUUGAUGGUAAUGCUGUUUUGGCAAUGGCCUUAGUGAAAGCCUGCAACUGCAGAUUAAGGGCACCCCUUUUAAGGAUGACGUGCUCACCCAUUCCCACUUUCAGUUUCAGAGACAGAUCAGAGUUGUGCAGCGAAAGCUUCAAGGGUUGUUUUCGUUAGUUGGUUAACUUGUAUUAUGUUUAUUAUAUGACAUAUUGUAUAUGUAAACCAAAUGACUAUUGUAUAUGUAUCAUUUGAGAGGACUUCUUGUA